rnacentral:lncRNA from 1 species
CGAGUGGGGCGUGGUGCAGCCGCCGGCGGGCGAGGAGGCGGCCCGCAAGAAGGACAAGCUGGGCGGCGGGCCCGCCGAGGAGGGCGAGGGGGAGGAGGACCUGGAGCAGCAGUUCCACUUCCACCUCAGCGGACUCCACUCGGUCCUCUCCAAGCUCACCCGCAAGGCCAACGUCCUCACCAACAGAUACAAGCAGGAGAUCGGCGUCAGCAGCUGGGGGCAAUGAGUCGGGUGGGGAGCGGGAAAGGGCGCCUGGCCCGGCCCGGCGGGAGCGGAGGGGAGCGGCCGUCCCCGCCCGGCGCUGCGCUGCUGCCCGGCGGUGGCGAGGGGCAGCGCCCCGGGCCGAGGCUCCCCUGCGCACUCCCAGGACUGCAGCAGGUUUUCUACCAACGCACAAGCGAGAGAGAGAUGUAAAUUAAUCAAUACUAGUUUAUUAAUUAUUUUGACCCCCUCCGUGGUUUUUUCACUGUACGGUCCGGGGCGAGCAGUUGCUGUGCCCGCCCGGGCGGGGAGGCUGAACACCUACGUGUACGAGGUGGUGGUGUGGCUGGCUGAUAAGGAGGCUCAACCCAAGCCGAUGAACAUAACGAAACUGGCACUAAAUUGCUUCUGUUGCGGGACAGAUUGCGGGUCCCACGGUUGUACAUGUACUGGAGUUUAUUUAAACCUUUUUUACUCAGAUGUAGAGUAUAUUCUAAAAUAAAUGCAAAUGUAUUAACUAAGAGUGACUUAAACUUUUGGUAUGAUUUAUGUUUCUUUAAUUAAAUGAUAUUUUUAACAUCUGGAAUUCUUCUGUUGUUCUAAGUUAUUUCCGAGCUGCCUUACUAGACACAGAAAUCUGCAUAUUCAAGAAAGGGGGUUUUGUGGCUUGCUUUUUUUCCCCCCACAAAGGGAACAAUUAGGCAGUGAUGAUAACUCAGCAUACCUAAAAUGUACAAAUGCCUGUAUUAACUGCACCAUACAUGGCCUGAGUUUUGGUAAGCUGUUCCCAGCAGACAGUACAGUUGCUCUGUUUGAGUGCUGACUUGAAGGUCAGUGCCUCUUUUAACAGAAUCUAAGGAUCGAGUCAUGGUUACUCUGCAGGCAGCAAUUCAUGGAAGUUGGAGCAAAGCCUAGGAAUGACUCUUGCUUUUUUUCAGGAAGUGUCUUAAUGUACUGUGGGGAGUUCUUUUUUCCUCUUUCUAAAUAGGUCUGGGAUACUUGCCUCCCCCACCUCUUGCAUUUCUUUCCUCUGUAAUCCUCCUUGGAUACCAGGAAUUAAUCAGGUUUAUGUUAUCCACAUUGUACUGAUUUUCUCUAUGUUUUUUUUUUUUUUAUUUCCUGAAGUAAAUACCUCAGAAUUGGGUGUCUAUAUUGUUCUAAUAUUAAGUUCUAAUAUUAAAGUGUACUUACUGAUUGCAAUAUGACGUGUACAUAAAACAGAGGAUAACUAUUUAAUAAAUACGUACAUCCUUCCA